rnacentral:sRNA from 1 species
GGGGUCCAUUAGCACGCACUGCAGUAGUAGCACGAUGUAUAGCUAAGUGUAUUUUUUACGGUAACCAUCUCCAUUAGGGGUUCCAGCAAGGCUCCAGCAAUGUCCCAGUGAUGAUUCGGCCAUAGUCACCAGUGUUCCGGUAUUGAACAUCUUACCACCCGUGUAACCUCCUUCGAGUAUUCACUUACUACGCUGGAAGCCGGUGGACGGAAGCCGUCAUCUUAGGACGUGGUACCGAAGGAGGACACAUUGGAGGAACACUGGAGGGACACUGCUGUCCAAUAUACCACCAUAGGACAUUGACGAAUCAGAUAUUAGAAACAUUUUUUUUUUGUUAAUAUUUUGUGUGUGUGAAUGUGUAUAUUUGUAAAUUUAUUGAUUUUAUAUAUAGAUAAAGAUUGUAAAUAC